rnacentral:rRNA from 1 species
CCCGGGGGGCUGCAGUGGGGAAUAUUGGACAAUGGGCGAAAGCCUGAUCCAGCCAUGCCGCGUGUGUGAAGAAGGCCUUCGGGUUGUAAAGCACUUUCAGUGGGGAAGAAAGCCUUGGGGCUAAUACCCUCGAGGAAGGACAUCACCCACAGAAGAAGCACCGGCUAACUCCGUGCCAGCAGCCGCGGUAAUACGGAGGGUGCGAGCGUUAAUCGGAAUUACUGGGCGUAAAGCGCGCGUAGGCGGUCUGAUAAGCCGGUUGUGAAAGCCCCGGGCUCAACCUGGGAACGGCAUCCGGAACUGUCAGGCUAGAGUGCAGGAGAGGAAGGUAGAAUUCCCGGUGUAGCGGUGAAAUGCGUAGAGAUCGGGAGGAAUACCAGUGGCGAAGGCGGCCUUCUGGACUGACACUGACGCUGAGGUGCGAAAGCGUGGGUAGCAAACAGGAUUAGAUACCCUAGUAGUC